UACGGAGGAUGCAAGCGUUAAUCGGAAUUACUGGGCGUAAAGCGCACGCAGGCGGUUUGUUAAGUCAGAUGUGAAAUCCCCGAGCUUAACUUGGGAACUGCAUUUGAAACUGGCAAGCUAGAGUCUUGUAGAGGGGGGUAGAAUUCCAGGUGUAGCGGUGAAAUGCGUAGAGAUCUGGAGGAAUACCGGUGGCGAAGGCGGCCCCCUGGACAAAGACUGACGCUCAGGUGCGAAAGCGUGGGGAGCAAACAGG
rnacentral:rRNA from 1 species